UGGGGAAUAUUGGGCAAUGGCCGAAAGGCUGACCCAGCGACGCCGCGUGCGGGAGGAAGCCCUUCGGGGUGUAAACCGCUGUCACCCGGGACGAAUUGCCGGAGUCUGAACAGGGCUUCGGAGUGACGGUACCGGGGGAGGAAGCACCGGCUAACUCUGUGCCAGCAGCCGCGGUAAGACAGAGGGUGCAAGCGUUGUUCGGAAUCACUGGGCGUAAAGCGCGCGCAGGCGGACGGGUAAGUCUGGAGUGAAAUUCCGGGGCUCAACCCCGGAACCGCUUUGGAUACUGCCUGUCUUGAGACCGGUAGAGGCCGGUGGAAUUCCCGGUGUAGCGGUGGAAUGCGUAGAGAUCGGGAAGAACACCAGUGGCGAAGGCGGCCGGCUGGGCCGGUUCUGACGCUGAGGCGCGAAAGCGUGGGGAGCAAACAGG
rnacentral:rRNA from 1 species